CAUGCCUAAGACAUGCAAGUCGAACGAAGUAGCCUAAUGAAGACCUAGUGCUUGCACGAAGUCAGAUUAGAUUCUACUUAGUGGCAGACGGGUGAGUAACACGUGGGUAACCUACCUCAGAGACUGGGAUAACGGUUAGAAAUGAUCGCUAAUACCGGAUGAUUCAUAGUUAGAUAACUAAUUAUGCUAAAAGAAGCGUUUGCUUCACUUUGAGAUGGGCUUGCGUUGUAUUAGUUAGUUGGUGGGGUAAUGGCCUACCAAGACAACGAUGCAUAUCCGAGCUGAGAGGCUGAUCGGACACACUGGGACUGAGACACGGCCCAGACUCCUACGGGAGACAGCAGUUAGGAAUAUUCGUCAAUGGGGGAAACCCUGAACGAGCAAUGCCGCGUGAGUGAUGAAGGUCUUAUAGAUUGUAAAACUCUGUUGUAGAGAAAGAAACCUUAAGAUAGGAAAUGAUCUUAAGCUGACGGUACUCUACCAGAAAGCCCCGGCUAACUACGUGCCAGCCGCCGC
rnacentral:rRNA from 1 species